CCCAAUACGCACGUGCCUGUGGUCGUGUGUCGGUCGGCGGGGAUCUGGACAAGAGGCCAGUCAACCGCCCCUGAAAGACCGGCAACCGGAGGCGAACCGGCGCACCCCGCCCAACGGGGGACGCGACUUGAAGCAACGACGGACCGGGCUUUU
rnacentral:sRNA from 1 species